GACGAACGCUGGCGGCGUGCUUAACACAUGCAAGUCGAGCGGAAAGGCCCUGCUUUUGUGGGGUGCUCGAGUGGCGAACGGGUGAGUAACACGUGAGUAACCUGCCCUUGACUUUGGGAUAACUUCAGGAAACUGGGGCUAAUACCGGAUAGGAGCUCCUGCUGCAUGGUGGGGGUUGGAAAGUUUCGGCGGUUGGGGAUGGACUCGCGGCUUAUCAGCUUGUUGGUGGGGUAGUGGCUUACCAAGGCUUUGACGGGUAGCCGGCCUGAGAGGGUGACCGGCCACAUUGGGACUGAGAUACGGCCCAGUCUCCUACGUGAGGCAGCAGUGGGGAAUAUUGCACAAUGGGCGGAAGCCUGAGGCAGCAACGCCGCGGGCGGGAUGACGGCCUUCGGGUUGUAAACCGCUUUCGCCUGUGACGAAGCGUGAGUGACGGUAAUGGGUAAAGAAGCACCGGCUAACUACGUG
rnacentral:rRNA from 1 species